CACAGUCGAGUCAAAUUGAGCCCCCAUCCCCAUCACGGCAGGAACUGACCAAAUGGCCCACAGCAAGGCCUGCAGCUCAUGGGCCCCGGGCCCCAGGACCUGGGGUUAAGUACAGCUGCAGAAAGGG
rnacentral:snoRNA from 1 species